rnacentral:lncRNA from 1 species
ACAUGAUCGGAGCGGUGAGGAGUCAGUGAACAGGCUGAAGCGAUGGAGCGAUGGUAAGGCAAAGCGAGGGCGCCAAACAGACUGUUUUGGUUGCACUGUGCUCAGAUCUGACCAGUUAGUUUCCUGCAGCCCGUUGGGUUGCAUCAGCUUCUGCUUUAAGUCUCUUUCCAUCUAUGCUCGAUUCACGCCUCUCAGUUAUGUGUUUUUUUCCGAUCUCUAGCUUUUCCUUUUCAAUCCCUCCUUCCGUCUUUUCGUUGCUUUGUCUCUCCUUCCCCCCAGCUCCAUCUCUCCCCACAUUGGAUUCAUUCCCCUUUGGAGCUUCCUGCUGGUCACUGUAAUUUUUUGCACUGCCACCGGUGACACAGAUGACAGGAAGUGGGAGGAGUUGGGCGAAAUGCAGAUGCCAGUCACGGCGCAGGCCAGCACCACUCAGCUGUGGGCAGUGGACUGGGGUCCCACGCAGCCCCUGGAGGACGAAACCCAUCACUUGCUGUCCAGUCUGGAGACGGAGGGUUCGAGGGUGACUACGCCCGAGGACUGGUUGCACCGUCGAAGCACGGCCGCCAAUCAAACGCAACGCCCAACUACGGGAGAGAGGGACAAGAUAGAGACAGAAGAGCAGGACACCAAGGAAGUGGACCCACAGUUUUAUGUGACAGUGACGAUCUCAUCUCUGCUGAUUCUCUCUGUGGUCAUCAUCUCUGCUAAACUCUGUUAUGACCGCAGUCUCUCGCAGCGCCCUCCGCCUCUCUCCCUCGCCAUCCCUCGCUCCAUAGCUCAGGAGGACAGCAGGCAGACACUGCACAGCACUCCAUCCUUCCCCGACAGAGAGAGGAUACCAGUGGUCAAUCUUUGAAGAGCUGACUGUUCCGAGCAUGAUAAUCAAAUCCCGCGGGCAUGACAGUCUCGGUGUGGCCAUUGGUGAGAACAUGUGGGCAAGCCAUGCGAAUGUACAUAACAUGUAGAUAGACACAUGUGGAUAUAUGGAUGAAUACAUCUGUUUGGGCACUCUGAUGGAGACUGUGAGGUUUUGUGGUCCAGUGGCUCUUCGUUUCUGGCUGUACCUCUUUCUUCCAGUGCCGUUUGUACAGUAUUAUUCUCAUUAGCUCAACGUAGCCUUUCACAAGGGCUCCGGGAAUGCUAUGUCCUCUACCAUAAAAACAAUCAUUAGCUUCUGAUCCUGGAAUAAGCUGUGAUGUAUGUAGUCAUUAAUUUAGUAACCGGCGUGACAUGCUUGCAGUAGCCUCUCUCUCAUGCAUACAAAGGUUACAGCCGCCUACCGCUGCCUUUAUCGCACUUUGUGUAGCAUUUAUUUGAGCUUAAUGAAUGACUGCAGUUAUUUUGAAGAGUUAAAUAUAAUUCACAUAAUUUGUUUAUAGUGCUUUGUUUCAUAUCUCUCCGUGUUCCAUGGCAACAGCGGGCUGCAAUGACGUCAGCUGAUAUCUGGAAACACCUCUGCAGUGUUGUUACCUUAUAAUUUACACUAAUUAUCAGAUGGACGUUUGCGUAAAUCUGACUCAACAUCUGUUGAGGUGUUUGUGAAACCUACGUAAUUCUAUUCUGAGUGUGUUGUUAUGCUUCUUAUUAGCUUUAUACUUCUAAAUCAUGGCCAUAUAGCUCUUCUUGGGGGUCUUUUUUGGUUAGUGGAGAGCUAGCACUCACCACAGUGACUGGUGUGUGUGUGGUGUUUUCAUGUUUAUGGAAAGCACAAUUAAGGAUAUGUAUGAAGACCAGUGUUGGGGAAAGUUACUUUUAAAAGUAAUGCAUCUUGUAAAUUAAAAAGUAAUGCGUUACUUUACUAGUUACUUGAAAAAAGUAAUCUGAUUACGUAACUCGCGUUACUUGUAAUGCGUUACCCCCAACACUGAUGAAGACAUACUGAAAAAUAAGCUUGGCGCUUCCAUGGCAUUUUUAGUUUGAUAAGCAAUUAAAAAACACGCCACACAAGUUUGUUUGAUGUAUCGCUACGCUAACAACCCAUGGCUAGAGAGGCAGCUUGGGUUCCCUUUCGAUACUUUACUCGUACUGCGUCGCUAAGACACGGUGGGGAAAACUCCUUUUCUCCAAUUAUUGAAGCCUUUUUCAAUCACAGCAGUGCAUCUGC